rnacentral:rRNA from 1 species
CUAUGCGCCUUCGCCACGCCCCGCUCAAGAAACUACAAAGGAAUUGACGGGGGCCCGCACAAGCGGAGGAACAUGUGGUUUAAUUCGAUGAUACGCGAGGAACCUUACCUGGGCUUAAAGUGGGGAGUGACAGCUGUCGAAAGAUGGUUUUCUUCGGACACUCUUCAAGGUGCUGCAUGGUUGUCGUCAGCUCGUGCCGUGAGGUGUCGGGUUAAGUCCCAUAACGAGCGCAACCCUUACCGUUAGUUACCAUCAGGUUAAGCUGGGGACUCUAGCGGGACUGCCACCGUAAGGUGAGAGGAAGGUGGGGAUGACGUCAAAUCAGCACGGCCCUUAUGUCCAGGGCUACACACGUGUUACAAUGGCCGGUACAAAGGGCAGCUACUUCGCGAGAAGAUGCUAAUCUCGAAAGCCGGUCUCAGUUCGGAUCGAAGUCUGCAACCCGACUUCGUGAAGCUGGAUUCGCUAGUAAUCGCGCAUCAGCCAUGGCGCGGUGAAUACGUUCCCGGGCCUU